CACACACACACACACACACACACACACACACACACACACACACACACACACAUAGUACAAUGCAUUACACAAUAUUACAAAAUACAUUGUAGGUGCUGGGCUUCUGGAAUUUUUUUAAGUCAUUACAUUUUCACUUCAGCUGAAGGAUCAAAUGAACAAUUACAAAGGUGGAAUCAGCAUUAAGAGGCAGAGUAUCAUUCACCUCCACAGUCACCAGUUAUUAUUCUAACUGGCAUGUUCUUGGCGUGUGGGAGAACCAGAGAAUUUGGAGAAACCCAUGUUGACACAGGGAGAAAAUGCAAAAAAGAACCAGCUGGCAGGUGUGACUGUCAUUAUCUCACCAGUGCUUCCGUCUAUAUCAUCAGCUCACCAGUUUUUCCCGUUUGCCAGUUCAUGAGAUGUAGAUGCUGUGUACUGGUGUUCCAGCCAUCUGUACCUGUUCCAGUUUUCCUGCCUGGUGUCUGCUCCCUGAGCUCUGGCCUGCUGCCUGUUAACGACCCGCCUGCUUUGCUCGUCUGGAUGUCUUUGCCUGUUGGACUGCCUCCUCCUGCCUGACUACCAGCUCCAUAGUUUGAACACUGAUUUGGAAUGGGAAACAACUUCUGAGCCCAUAAAGGAUGGGAGGUUUCCUGGAUGAGGUGUAAAGGUCAGCUUAGAAAAGAAUAAUCUUAACAAUGUGUUGUAAGACCACGUCAGCCAUGAGACUCAGAUGUGACGCUGGCCUUCAGGAGGAUCUGUCUAUGACCAAAGUGUAACUGCCAGAGCCUUUGUUUGAGUGAAGUGUGCUUGGUGUGUUUUGGUUGUGUCGUCCUCUCCCACUCACAGCACACCUCAUCAUCACCUGCAUCGGCACGCCAGUCUGUCAAUCAAGCCAUCUCCUCUCCACGACCACCACUCUGCACCAGCUUCCAGUCCCCGCCUGACUGAUGUGCCAUACAUGCAAAGCCAGCUUGCUGCUUCGCCAGAUGCCCCCCUGACAAGCCCUCCUUCUCUGGAUAACAGCACCAACCCCUGACAAGGCUCCUGCUCACCUCACCUCUUCCCACCAGUCAGGUUCUUUCUAAAUUAAAAGACUGUCUUUGUGUCUGGGUUUGGGUGCAGCCUCUGUAACGUAACAAACAAAAGAACUGCCCACGGAAAUAUGUUCCGUUUAAACCAGUCACAUCGAUAUUUAUGGAUUGUGAGUUAAUAUUUAGCCAGGUUAUAAACUAAUUUAAAAACAGGUAAAUGUGAAAAAAUAUAUAACACAUGAUGUGAACUGAAUGAAUAAUUUAAAAGUAACACUGUGAGUAUUGUGACAUGAAAGUAUCCUGUCUCAGUUUAUGAGGGUAGAUUUUAAAAUCAGUCAAUGUGAUGUUUGUUGAACUAAAAUGCUAACUAUUUAUAUGCUAACUUAUUUCAGACUGGGGAUUAAAUUCUUCUGUAGAAUGAACAAUUGAGAGUUACUGAGCCAGGAUAAAACACUAGCACGUGUAUCAGAAGAGUUAAAAUCAGGUGCUCAUUUGAGUCGCUAAUAGCACUGUGCUUAGAUUCAAAGUCCUGUGUUGGUUUAUCUAUGAAAAUAAGCAGAGAGCAGAUAAUGAGUCGUGCGGUUUGCAAUUUGUAAGGCAGGUGUUAAGUGGAACAAAAGGGCAUCCCUUCCAAUUAAAAAAAAAAAAAGAAUUAAUUUAAAGUCCUGACAGAUCAGAUUUUGCUCAGUGCAGUCAGGCAAAGAUGCAACAAGUGCCAAGAACGGAUUUUGCAGAACUGGACUUUAAAGCUAAAUAUGCAUAAUCUGUCUGUGUGACACAACUUUUCCACCAACUCUGGUGAAGUCACUACUUUGUAACUGUCAUUGCCGUGCACAGACAUUUUUCAGGGCAGGUGCUAUACUGGACAAAAAGGGCAUGCCUUCCACAAUUUUAUUUGCAUGCACGAAAAAAUGUGCACAUGCAAAGUGCACCCUGCCUGAGGUUUCAGUCUGACAGCACCAGAGGGUUUCUUGUGCUUGAGGCCGAAGCACAUGCAAUGCAUUCGUGCACAGCAUCUGUUUAGCUUACGUAAGAGGUAUUGAAAUAUGCAUAUAUGACGCAACAUGGGAGACAAACUUAAUGUCAGCUUGAGUUUUGGUUUGUAAAGACACAUGGAAGUGGGAAAGCAGUUCAGCGUCUGUCUCCACUCACACUGUGCAGAUGGUGAACCUGAAUCUGGCAGAGUUGGAGGGAGACAGUGUGUCAGACUAGUUCACUUGUUGUAAAUGGUGUGUUAUUGCCUUACUUAGACUAGUUGUGUCGAGACAAUUUAACAGUGGUUUAAUUUCACAACAGUGACAAACAAUGCCGAGGCUUAGGCUAAACAUUGUCACCUGGCUGUCUGUGACAGCAGAUAAAGGAGACGUGAUGCUGCUCUGCAGGGCGCACUAUUUUCAUGCAGCUGCCACAAGGAGGAGGGGCAGGGGCUCGACUCAAAUGCAGCUGUCGGUUACGCAACAUACUUUUGACUAAGAAUUAAUGUCAUGGGCCAAAUUUAAAAAUUAAAAUUAUUAAAAGAACUAGAAAAAAAAUAUUGCAAAAAGGGCACUUACCUGAACAGAGGUCAAAAGGGCAGGUGUUUAGCACCACCUGGCGUCUAUCUGUGCACUUACAUGUAACAUCCGUUGACAUUAUUAUUAUAAGACACACCUCUUGAUCUUGUUUCUCAACAGACAGGUUUCAAGCUUUUAAUCUUUAUACUUUUUACAGAGGAACAUUGAGUGAACAACAAUUCCAUCAUCCAAAUGUAUUCUAAUAACAAGACUGCUAGCAAAAACAAUUUCUCAAUUUUCCAAUAAGAUAUAUUUGAUUAAUACACAAGACCAGCUCGUGUUUUGCAUUUGCAAUUUAAAAAUGACAGUAAGAAUUAUAUCAUAAUGCAUACAAUCUUCACCCAACAUCAAAUAUAACAAAAAAGCUUGUCUCUGUAAGCUCUGCAGUAAGGCACUGUAUGCAUUUUAAUUUAGCACUGAAAAUUCACAACUGCUGAUUUUUGGAUACACUACUCGCUGAGAAUAAGAUGUAAAGUGAAGUUUGUGUUCAAAUUUAUCACAACAACAAAUGAAGGUAUGAAAAACCUUUAGACUCAACAAAGAGAUGUGAAGUGUCACUGUUUUGGCAGCAGACAACAAUGACAGCAGGAAAAGAAAUUAGACUUCCUCUGCCCUCACUGGAAGUCUUUAAGAUUUUCUGCCUCUGGAGAGCCAGCAACAUUUAGAAGGGUCAAACUCUCACCUACCACCUGGAAGGCUCACUUCCAGACUCAAAAACAGCUUCUACCCCAGAGCCAUCAUUAAACUGAACUCCACAAAAACUGCCCCCUCCAGAACACUCCACACCACAGGACUAAAAUGGAAUAGUACAUUUUAAUGGGGAAAUAUGCAAUAACUGUGUAUAAUAAUAAUAAUACAUUUUAUUUCUGCGCCUUUCAUGAUACUCAAGGUCGCCUUACAGAGUAAAAUACAGAGCAAAUACAAUAAAAUACAAAGUACAAGAUAAUUAAACAUUUAACAACAAACAAAUAUCAGUUUAAAAAGCAAACAAAACAAACAUAAACAAAACAUCUGUUCAGGCUUAAAGAGAGUAGGAAAGCCGGAACAGGUGAGUUUUCAGCCUGGAUUUAAAGUGUGGGAGUGAAUCAAUAUUUCAGAGGUCAGGGGGGAGUGAAUUCCAGAGUUGGGGAGCAGAGCGGCUGAAUGCUCUGGUAGUGAGGAGAACGGAGGGGACAGUGAGGUGAAUAGAAGAGGAGGAUCUGAGGGUGCGAGCAGGUAUGGUGAUAGGAAGGAGGUCAGAGAGGUACAGAGGGGCGAGGCUGUGGAUGGCCUUGUAGCUCAGAAGUAUAAUCUUACAAUGGAUGCGGUAGGUGAUGGGGAGCCAGUGGAGCUGCUGUAAGACGGGUGUGAUAUGACAGGUGGACGGGGUGCUAGUGAUAAUACGGACGGCGGAAUUCUGAACCAUCUGCAGUUUAUGGAGGAUUUUCUGAGGGAGACCAAACAGGAGGGAGUUGCAGUAGUCA